AUUGAACGCUGGCGGCAGGCCUAACACAUGCAAGUCGAACGAGUGGCGGACGGGUGAGUAAUGUAUGGGAAUGUGCGUGAGGGAGGGGGAUAACUGCUGGAAACGGUAGCUAAAAACGCAUACCAGAGCAUGGGCCCAGAUGGGAUUAGCUAGUUGGUGGGGUAAAGGCUUACAAAGGAUACGAUCCCUAGCUGGGAUGAGAGGAUGACCAGCCACACUGGAACUGAGACACGGUCCAGACUCCGACGGGAGGCAGCAGUGGGGAAUAUUGCACAAUGGGCGCAAGCCUGAUGCAGCCAUGCCGCGUGUAUGAAGAAGGCCUGCGGGUUGUAAAGUACUUUCAGCUUGGAGGCGUUACCCGCAGAAUAAGCACCGGCUAACUUCGUGCCAGCAGCCGCGGUAAUUC
rnacentral:rRNA from 1 species